GCCCUUGUAGCUCAGUUGGUAGAGCAAUUGAUUUGUAAUCAAUAGGUCCGCAGUUCGAGUCUGUGUGGGGGCACCA
rnacentral:tRNA from 1 species